rnacentral:rRNA from 1 species
AUUGAACGCUGGCGGCAUGCCUUACACAUGCAAGUCGAACGGCAGCACGGGUGCUUGCACCUGGUGGCGAGUGGCGAACGGGUGAGUAAUAUAUCGGAACGUACCUUAUCGUGGGGGAUAACGCAGCGAAAGCUGUGCUAAUACCGCAUAAGCCCUAAGGGGGAAAGCAGGGGACCGUAAGGCCUUGCGCGAUUAGAGCGGCCGAUACCUGAUUAGCUAGUUGGUGAGGUAAAGGCUCACCAAGGCAACGAUCAGUAGCUGGUCUGAGAGGACGAUCAGCCACACUGGGACUAAGAAACGGCCCAGACUCCUACGGGAGGCAGCAGUGGGGAAUUUUGGACAAUGGGGGCAACCCUGAUCCAGCAAUGCCGCGUGAGUGAAGAAGGCCUUCGGGUUGUAAAGCUCUUUUGUCAGGGAAGAAACAGCAGCUCUAAUACAGUAUGCGAAUGACGGUACCUGAAGAAUAAGCACCGGCUAACUACGUGCCAGCAGCCGCGGUAA